AGCCUUUGGUGGGGGCUGCGGGCACGGUGGGAGGGGAGGGCACCUGGAAGGGCGCGGGAUUCAGGCUGAGGCUUUUCUGUCCGCGGCUGGACCCCUCGCGAAGCGUUUUCACGCACCUGUGAGGAACCUCACACCCUUGGGCUGAUUUAUUUCGUACAUUGGCGCCAAAUGGCAAAGAUUUCCAGGGAUUUGUUUGGGAUUCCGUAUUUUUGUAGAUUUGCCAAGAUUUGAUAGUAGUACAAUAUUAAGGAUUCCCAUCCAGCAAUAUGGCUUUUAUUAUUAUUAUUAUUAUUCAGUUCUUUUCUUUAGAGGCCAGUCUCCUGAUUCACUCCUGCUCUGCCAGAAGGUGGAGAAUGAGAGGGAAUAGGCCCACCUGCUCUGGCCUGAGCUCUACAGGUGGUACAGAAGGCCCUGAGUAAGGCCUAAACGCCUGACUGCUCUCUCAGGUGGAAAAGAUUAAUAAAACUACUCCUUCCUUUCUGUGUGUGUGUAUAUACAAGGACUACAGAUGCUCUCAAUGACUCUGCAAUCAAAUGAUUAAUAUUGGCCCAACAUUAAUUAAAACUCU